rnacentral:rRNA from 1 species
GCCGGUGAUUAUUGCAGAGGUGUUAUACUCGAUCCCAUACCGAACUCGAAAGUCAAGCCCUCUAGCGCCGAUGGUACUUAGUCUUAAGGCUUGGAAGAGUAGGACAUCGCCGGCA